rnacentral:rRNA from 1 species
UACAGAGGUCUCAAGCGUUUGUUCGGAUUCAUUGGGCGUAAAGGGUGUGUAGGUGGCGCCGUAAGUCGGGUGUGAAAUUUCGGAGCUUAACUCCGAAACUGCAUUCGAUACUGCGGUGCUUGAGGACUGGAGAGGAGACUGGAAUUCAUGGUGUAGCAGUGAAAAUGCGUAGAGAUCAUGAGGGAAGACCAGUGGCGAAAGGCGGGGUCUCUGGACAGUUCCUGACACUGAGACACGAAGGGCCAGGGGGAGCAAAACGGGGAUUAGAAAACCCCCCUGUAUC